rnacentral:rRNA from 1 species
UACGGAGGGAGCUAGCGUUAUUCGGAAUUACUGGGCGUAAAGCGCACGUAGGCGGCUUUGUAAGUAAGAGGUGAAAGCCUGGAGCUCAACUCCAGAACUGCCUUUUUAGACUGCAUCGCUUGAAUCCAGGAGAGGUGAGUGGAAUUCCGAGUGUAGAGGUGAAAUUCGUAGAUAUUCGGAAGAACACCAGUGGCGAAGGCGGCUCACUGGACUGGUAUUGACGCUGAGGUGCGAAAGCGUGGGGAGCAAACAGG